rnacentral:rRNA from 1 species
AUUGAACGCUGGCGGCAGGCCUAACACAUGCAAGUCGAGCGGAUGAAGGGAGCUUGCUCCUGGAUUCAGCGGCGGACGGGUGAGUAAUGCCUAGGAAUCUGCCUGGUAGUGGGGGAUAACGUCCGGAAACGGGCGCUAAUACCGCCUACGUCCUGAGGGUGCAAGUGGGUGAUCUUCGGACCUCACGCUAUCAUAUGAGCCUAGGUCGGAUUAGCUAGUUGGUGGGGUAAAGGCCUACCAAGGCGACGAUCCGUAACUGGUCUGAGAGGAUGAUCAGUCACACGGGAAAUGAGACACGGUCAAGACUCCUAAGGGAGGCAGCAGUGGGGAAUAUUGGGCAAUGGGCGAAAGCCUGAUCCAGCCAUGCAGAGUGUGUGAAGAAGGUCUUCGGAUUGUAAAGCACGUUAAGUUGGGAGGAAGGGCAGUAAGUUGAUACCUUGCUGGUUUGACGUUACCAACAGAAUAAGCACCGGCUAACUUCGUG